rnacentral:rRNA from 1 species
GGCUCAGAACGAACGCUGGCGGCGCGUCUUAAGCAUGCAAGUCGAACGGCAAGAGGUAGCAAUACCUCCUAGAGUGGCGGACUGGUGAGUAACACGUGGGUGACAUACCCUUCAGAUGGGGAUAGCUAUUAGAAAUAGUAGAUAAUACCGAAUACGAGCACAGGGGUUAGAGAUCUGUGAGGAAAGGAGCUAAGGCUCCGCUGAAGGAAUGGCCUGCGGCCCAUUAGCUAGUUGGUGAGGUAAGAGCCCACCAAGGCGAUGAUGGGUAUCCGGCCUGAGAGGGUGAUCGGCCACAUUGGGACUGAGACACGGCCCAAACUCCUACGGGAGGCAGCAGUAGGGAAUCUUCCGCAAUGGACGAAAGUCUGACGGAGCAACGCCGCGUGAGUGAAGAAAGGUUUUCGGAUCGUAAAACUCUGUUGUCAGAGAAGAACAAGUUGGAGAGUAACUGCUCCAGCCUUGACGGUAUCUGACCAGAAAGCCACGGCUAACUACGUGCCAGCAGCCGC